UUCUAGAAGUGUCUAUUGUGUUGACUACAGU
rnacentral:piRNA from 1 species